rnacentral:rRNA from 1 species
CAGCCGCCACGGUAAUACAGAGGGUGCGAGCGUUAAUCGGAUUUACUGGGCGUAAAGCGUGCGUAGGCGGCUUUUUAAGUCGGAUGUGAAAUCCCUGAGCUUAACUUAGGAAUUGCAUUCGAUACUGGGAAGCUAGAGUAUGGGAGAGGAUGGUAGAAUUCCAGGUGUAGCGGUGAAAUGCGUAGAGAUCUGGAGGAAUACCGAUGGCGAAGGCAGCCAUCUGGCCUAAUACUGACGCUGAGGUACGAAAGCAUGGGGAGCAAACAGGAUUAGAUACCCCCGUAGUCCCUGUCUCUUAUAA